GUUGUUGUGGCCGAGAGGUUAAGGCGAUGGACUCGAAAUCCAUUGGGGUCUCCCCGCGCAGGUUCGAGUCCUGCCAGCAACA
rnacentral:tRNA from 1 species